GAAAAACUCAAUUCACAUCACCAUCAAGUGUUCCUCCAUUAUAUUCUUCUACCUGGACUCUUGGGUCUCACCUCAAUGCGGUUUAUGUUUCCUUUAUGUGCUUUGUGUUUGCAGGAAAUUUAGGAGGAAAAGUUGAAUUUCAAAGAAGAUGACAGGAAAUAAGAAGAAGGAAGCCAGAUGGAUGAUGUCUGUGCUGUGGAAUUUGUAUAGAGCUUUGGUCAUCUGAAGGUGAUCUUUAGGUCGGGAGCAUCAAGUUCCUUCUCAGGGAAUUUCAAAUUUGAACCUAACAAAUUGGCCUUAAUUAUUCUCCAUUUAUCGUUACUUAUGUGCUCAAUGGUUGAAGCAGGUGAAGCAAUCCAAUAUCAAGCUGCCGUUACAGUGGAGAUAUCUCAAUCGGAAGAUGGUAUUCAACCAUGGAUUAAUCCCUGGGAGGCUUGGUAGCAUAUUUUUUGCAUUUCCUUCGUCGUUGACGCUAUCUUACCAAAAUUAUACUCUAUUAUAUGCAGGUAAUUUUAUAUCUUCGAGAAGAAAAAUUAUCUUUCAAUAGCCAAGGUAUGCCAAAUUGCUUUAAGUACGGUUGAUUGGUAUAGUUAACUCUAGAUUUAUGAACAAAUGACUUUUCCUUUGCAUCUCUUAGAUAUGAGAAUCCCGUUCUCCUUAAAUACUUACUUUUUGUAUUAAAUAUGUUCAACUUCCUAGACCAUCCAGAAAGCUAUAUCAUUUCCAUAGUUGUAAUGGAUCGAAAUUCCAAUGAUGGUAUGAUUGUGUUGUCUAUUAACACGAUUUUGAUGCAGAUAGUGAACGCAGAACUAAUUUUUCUAAAUGAAAUUGCCAAGUGUUCGGUUCCUUUGGUUGUUGGAUAAGUUUAUUGUGAUGCUAGACUGAUUUUCUAAUGUUGAAUAUUUAAGUCAUAAUGAAUUCAAUUUUUGUUCCGUGAAGAUACUACAAUAUAGUAACCCAAUAUGAUAUACGAUUAUGAAUCUCAUCGCUCUACCAGAGCUCAUUCAAUUUCCAUGUAUUACUAUUUGCCAUCUUAGCUCAGCUGGAAGAUCGCAUGGGUUUGAACUUUGUACCAUGUGGUCGUGGGUUCGAUUCCAACAGAUGGCGGAGAGACCCUAUAAUUGUACGCACUUUAGGGUGCAGCUACUCUAACAUGGUUCUUCCUGCGGUACCAAAUCUUAUUACUUAUCACAUUCAUCACAUCCACUGAGGUUGUUCAUUAUUUAUGGUAGUUUUAUUUCUUUUAUCAGGCCUCUUAUACUUCUUAUAUUGAAGUGGAGUUCUUAUCCAAUUAAGCCGUCUUGGAUUGUUUUCAGAGGUACUCAACGUUUAAUUUUUUUUUCCUUUACAGGUAAAAAUUUCACUGGUGGGUUCUCAGAGACCGUGGGCAUGGGUGGCCAUGGUCACGAGGAACCUAACAACUAGCAGAAAUUUUGCAUGUUCUAUGUCUAGUAGCUGAACAUUACUUUUUUUGGUAUUUUUUGCCGGGUCUUCAGGAUAUAACCGAGUGCUGUAUUUCGUAAGGUUGUUGCUUGCUUUCACACCAAUUGGUAAAUCCUUGCAAGAGUAGAGCAGUGAGUAUGACAGACAUCAAUCCAUAUUUAUUAUUGUAAUUGUACGUUGUUUUGAUGCUAUGAAAAUUCUACAGUAUAAUAACCCGAAAUACAUGAUCAUGAAUCUGAUCGCUUUGUCAUUCCUCAUGUGUCGCCAGUCCCACUAGCCAUCUUAAGCUCAUUCGGAAGAGCGCAUGGGUUUGAACCAUGUGGUCAUGGGUUCGACUCCCACUGAUAGUGGUGGUCCCUAUGGUUAUACAUAUUUUUGUGCAGCUAAGCUUACUUGGUUCUUUGUGCGUUACCAAUACUUAUUAUUUAUCACCCUUCUACUGAAGUGGACUUCAGUGGAAAUUAAUAUGUUUACAGAUAGCUAGCUGAGGUAGUUUAUCGUCUCUGCAGAUCCAGCUGUGGUAGCCUUAUUCCUUCUCAUCAGACCCCAUAUACUUUAUUUACAUGGUUAUAAAUUGUUCAUUUUAUUUAUCAAGUUCCACGGGUGCUUCAUUACACGUCUAAGGUUUGGAUUGAGGCAUUUUGGAUUGUUUCUAGAUGUACUCAAAAUGCUAAUAUUUUUUCCCUCACAGGUAGAAAUGUCAACGGUGGGUGUGGGUUCUCAGAGACAGGUGGACAGGGUCAUCAGAAACCUACAAGCAGCAGAAUAUGCUUUAAAGCUAACAUCCCUUUUCUUGGUAGUUUUUGCAGGGUGUUGAGUGUAUAACUGAGUGUAAGUUUCUUGAACUGUGUGCCAAUUGCCACUUAUAAUGUCUCUCGCAAGUGGGACGUGCCGCAACUUAUAGAAUCAAUGUUGAGUUAUGGAGCGGGGGUGUACAGGUAAGUUAGCAAAGGAACAUGGGAACAGUCUUGGUUAUCUGAUCAAAGCCUGAGAAACAGAUUUACUUGAGCAAUGAUACAGUGGAACAGAAAGCGCCCGAGGUAAUUACCAAUAUUGAUGUCUGAGCAUACGAUGGCAGAUUUCUACGAAGAAGAUAGAAAAAGGAAGAAGAUAAAGCGAAGCAGUACAAGUUUGGAUAUCGAUAGAAAAAGGAAAAGAUAGAGGAAAACACGUACAAGCUUGGAUUUGGAGUGAUACCAUUCUUGGAGAAAGCUAAGAUAUUAAUUGAUGAAAUGUUUUUGGAGGAACUUGAAAUAAUAGUUGAGCAAAAUCGUACUUCUGUAUAGAAAGAAUAUGGGGAUGGUUUCGUUCUUACUAAAAGACGGUAGAAGAUUGGGAUGGUUUAGAUCUUACGAAAAGAUGUUAGAAGAAGAAGAUGCUGCUAAGAAGGUGAAAGGAAGAAAUUUUUAUUGAUACGGUCAUGACUCUACUGAUUUUUCCCCGUAGGAAAUAUUAGUAAUGAAAUGACUGUCUUUUUCCUGGGUGUUAUUCUUUAACUAUUUUCUGUUUUUAUUUUGGAUGUACUUGAUGCUGGUUCUUUGUCCUUUUCAUUGGUGGUUCUUAACUUUAUUACUAUGUUUUUUAUUGGUUUGAUUUGUUAGUUCUUUCAAUUAUGUUUUGU